rnacentral:rRNA from 1 species
AUUGAACGCUGGCGGCGUGCUUAACACAUGCAAGUCGAGCGGUAACAGGCGUAGCAAUACGUGCUGAUGAGCGGCGAACGGGUGAGUAAUGCUUCGGAAUCUUCCUUGUAGUGGGGAAUAACCUGGGGAAACUCAGGCUAAUGCCGCAUACGAACCAUGGUUGAAAGCGGGGGAUCGCAAGACCUCGCGCUAUAAGAUGAGCCGAAGUCGGAUUAGCUAGUUGGUGGGGUAAAGGCCUACCAAGGCGACGAUCCGUAGCUGGUCUGAGAGGACGACCAGCCACACUGGGACUGGGACACGGCCCAGACUCCUACGGGAGGCAGCAGUGGGGAAUAUUGGACAAUGGGGGCAACCCUGAUCCAGCGACGCCGCGUGUGUGAAGAAGGCCUGCGGGUUGUAAAGCACUUUUAGUGGGGACAAAAAGCCGAGGGCUAAUACCUUUCGGUCUUGAUUUAACCCAAAGAAAAAGCACCGGCUAACUCUGUGCCAGCCGCCGCCGUAACAC